UUUAAACUACUUGAAAAAAAACAUAGUUUCUUCUAUAUAUUAUAUGCGGUUUGUAAACAAACCGCUUGAAAAAACUUUUUUCAAGAUUUGAUUCGCUAUCCGCUUUAGCGGAUACGAUGAAAAAGUUCCUUGCAGAACAUAGCCGCAAGGCUCUGAUAAUCCUUGCAAAAAGUUUUUAUAGGA
rfam:Treponema denticola ATCC 35405, complete genome.